UACGUAGGGGGCAAGCGUUGUCCGGAAUCAUUGGGCGUAAAGAGCGUGUAGGCGGCUUGGCAAGUCUGGUGUGAAAUCUUGCGGCUCAACCGCAAGCGGUCACUGGAAACUGCCUCGCUAGAGUCCGGAAGAGGAGAGCGGAAUUCCUGGUGUAGCGGUGGAAUGCGCAGAUAUCAGGAGGAACACCAAUGGCGAAGGCAGCUCGCUGGGACGGUACUGACGCUGAGACGCGAAAGCGUGGGGAGCAAACAGG
rnacentral:rRNA from 1 species